CCAAAGGCAAGGAACCCCAACUCAUUCCCAGUAUCUUUUUGCUGUAAGUGUCGCUGUCUCUCGGGGUCUCUUUGCAGUGUAGAGACACAGCCGUAAUGAGAUGAAAAUUGCACAAAUCCAGCGUACGUGACAAAUUGAAAAAAAGCGCAUCAGUGGAGCGAAGUUAACUAGUGAGACCUGUGUGGAAUCAACCAUACAAUAUUGGACAACAGCGACAACGCUUUGGCUCUGAUGACUUGACCAGCAGAGGAGGAACGACAACGACAACGACAACGACGACAGCUACUGUGACUGACUUUUACGAGUACCAGUAAAAAAAAAAAAAUAAAACAAUAUCUCAGAACGUCACCCGAACGAUGUGCAGUAACUGGAGUGCAGCGACAGCAGCAGCAGCAGCAGACUCAUGCCGGGGGUACUACCCAGUAAUACUAUCUAGACACGUGAAAUGAGUUAUCAACGCAACGUGUGCGAAGUUGUUGUUGUUGUUGUUGUUGUCUGCACUGCACUGUGGAAGGAAAAGUACUAGAUGGAGGUGAGUUGCCAGGUGAGUCUUUGGGAUUCAGAGAAUUGGAUAGGAGAAAAGUGUUUGUGAAGGUAGAUUGGGGGUGUAAUUUUAGCAGAUAAAACAACUU
rnacentral:lncRNA from 1 species